ACAACAACAAUAACAAGCAGCAAAAAAAAUAAUAAAAAUAAGACGUAUCGACUCCAUAACAACAAAAACAACAAGCCGGAGGCGCAGCUAACUGAUUCUUUUGGAGAGGACAUGUUUUGGGGAUUGACCCCACAACCGGACUGAGAACAAUAAAACUGCUUAUUAAGCAGCGCCCGAACUGGUUGGAUCACUGGAUGAUCAUUGCAAUGUCAGCGUCCAAACAAAUCCGUUUGCUAUUAAUCCUCUCAUUGAGAGGUUUUCCACAGGUCGCAGACCUGAUGGAACGGGUAAAUUUACAAAAACAACAAGCCCGCAAUAAUAACAAUAA
rnacentral:sRNA from 1 species